AUGGGAGGGCGGUUGCUAUAAUGCAGUCGAACGCGUUGGCCCAAUUGAUUGAUGGUGCUUGCACCUGAUUGAUUUUGGUCGCCAACGAGUGGCGGACGGGUGAGUAACACGUAGGUAACCUGCCCAGAAGCGGGGGACAACAUUUGGAAACAGAUGCUAAUACCGCAUAACAACGUUGUUCGCAUGAACAACGCUUAAAAGAUGGCUUCUCGCUAUCACUUCUGGAUGGACCUGCGGUGCAUUAGCUUGUUGGUGGGGUAACGGCCUACCAAGGCGAUGAUGCAUAGCCGAGUUGAGAGACUGAUCGGCCACAAUGGGACUGAGACACGGCCCAUACUCCUACGGGAGGCAGCAGUAGGGAAUCUUCCACAAUGGGCGCAAGCCUGAUGGAGCAACACCGCGUGAGUGAAGAAGGGUUUCGGCUCGUAAAGCUCUGUUGUUAAAGAAGAACACGUAUGAGAGUAACUGUUCAUACGUUGACGGUAUUUAACCAGAAAGUCACGGCUAACUACGUGCCAGCAGCCGCGGUAAUACGUAGGUGGCAAGCGUUAUCCGGAUUUAUUGGGCGUAAAGAGAGUGCAGGCGGUUUUCUAAGUCUGAUGUGAAAGCCUUCGGCUUAACCGGAGAAGUGCAUCGGAAACUGGAUAACUUGAGUGCAGAAGAGGGUAGUGGAACUCCAUGUGUAGCGGUGGAAUGCGUAGAUAUAUGGAAGAACACCAGUGGCGAAGGCGGCUACCUGGUCUGCAACUGACGCUGAGACUCGAAAGCAUGGGUAGCGAACAGGAUUAGAUACCCUGGUAGUCCAUGCCGUAAACGAUGAGUGCUAUGUGUUGGAGGGUUUCCGCCCUUCAGUGCCGGAGCUAACGCAUUAAGCACUCCGCCUGGGGAGUACGACCGCAAAGUUGAAACUCAAAGGAAUUGACGGGGGCCCGCACAAGCGGUGGAGCAUGUGGUUUAAUUCGAAGCUACGCGAAGAACCUUACCAUGUCUUGACAUCUUGCGCCAACCCUAGAGAUAGGCGUUUCCUUCGGGAACGCAAU
rnacentral:rRNA from 1 species